AGCAGCCGCGGUAAUUCCAGCUCCAAUAGCGUAUAUUAAAGUUGUUGCAGUUAAAAAGCUCGUAGUUGAAUUUCGGGAUCAAUAUAACGGUCAUGCCGUUGGUAUGCACUGUUAUAAUUGAUUUCUCACCUUCUAAAGAACCGUAAUGCCAUUAAUUUGGUGUCACGGGGAAUUAGGACUGUUACCUUGAAAAAAUUAGAGUGUUUAAAGCAGGCUCACGCUUGAAUACAUUAGCAUGGAAUAAUGAAAUAGGACAUCCGAUUCUAUUUUGUUGGUUUCUAGGAUCGAUGUAAUGAUUAAUAGGGAUAGUUGGGGGCAUUAGUAUUCAAUUGUCAGAGGUGAAAUUCUUGGAUUUUAUUGAAGACUAACUACUGACGAAAGCAUUUGCCAAGGAUUGUUUUCAUUAAUCAAGAACGAAAGUUAGGGAUCGAAGACGAUCAGAUACCGUCGUAGUCUUAACCAUAAACUAUAGCCGACUAGGGAUCGGAUGGAUUAGUUAAUUUUUUAAUAGUACUUCAUU
rnacentral:rRNA from 1 species